GACGAACGCUGGCGGCGUGCUUAACACAUGCAAGUCGAACGGAAAGGCCCUGCUUUUGUGGGGUGCUCGAGUGGCGAACGGGUGAGUAACACCUGAGUAACCUGCCCUUGACUUUGGGAUAACUUCAGGAAACUGGGGCUAAUACCGGAUAGGAGCUCCUGCUGCAUGGUGGGGGUUGGAAAGUUUCGGCGGUUGGGGAUGGACUCGCGGCUUAUCAGCUUGUUGGUGGGGUAGUGGCUUACCAAGGCUUUGACGGGUAGCCGGCCUGAGAGGGUGACCGGCCACAUUGGGACUGAGAUACGGCCCAGACUCCUACGGGAGGCAGCAGUGGGGAAUAUUGCACAAUGGGCGGAAGCCUGAUGCAGCAACGCCGCGUGCGGGAUGACGGCCUUCGGGUUGUAAACCGCUUUCGCCUGUGACGAAGCGUGAGUGACGGUAAUGGGUAAAGAAGCGCCGGCUAACUACGUG
rnacentral:rRNA from 1 species